rnacentral:rRNA from 1 species
GAUGAACGCUGGCGGCGUGCCUAACACAUGCAAGUCGAGCGCGAUUAAGUGGAGUGAGAACUUCGGUUCAAGUGAAGCUUAUGAAAGCGGCGGACGGGUGAGUAACGCGUGGGUAACCUGCCCCAUACAAAGGGAUAGCCACUGGAAACGGUGAUUAAUACCUUAUAAGUCGGUAGUCUCGCAUGAGACAGCCGACAAAGAUUUAUCGGUAUGGGAUGGACCCGCGUCUGAUUAGCUAGUUGGUGAGGUAACGGCUCACCAAGGCGACGAUCAGUAGCCGACCUGAGAGGGUGAUCGGCCACACUGGAACUGAGACACGGUCCAGACUCCUACGGGAGGCAGCAGUGGGGAAUAUUGCACAAUGGGCGCAAGCCUGAUGCAGCAACGCCGCGUGAGUGAUGAAGGCUUUCGGGUCGUAAAACUACUGUCCUAUGGGAAGAAAAAAUAACGGUACCAUAGGAGGAAGCCCGGCUAACUACGUGCCAGCAGCCGCGGUAA